rnacentral:misc_RNA from 1 species
GAUGAAGAACGUAGCGAAAUGCGAUAAGUAAUGUGAAUUGCAGAAUUCAGUGAAUCAUCGAAUCUUUGAACGCACAUUGCGCCCGCUAGUAUUCUGGCGGGCAUGCCUGUCCGAGCGUCAUUUCAACCCUCAAGCCCCCGGGCUUGGUGUUGGGGAUCGGCGAGCCUCCGCGCCCGCCGUCCCCUAAAUCUAGUGGCGGUCUCGCUGUAGCUUCCUCUGCGUAGUAGCACACCUCGCACUGGGAAACAGCGCGGCCACGCCGUUAAACCCCCAAAUUCUGAACGUUUGACCUCGGAUCAGGUAGGAAUACCCGCUGAACUUAAGCAUAUCAAUAAGCGGAGGA